CCCAGACUCCUACGGGAGGCAGCAGUGAGGAAUAUUGGUCAAUGGGCUUACGCCUGAACCAGCCAAGUCGCGUGAGGGAAGACUGCCCUAUGGGUUGUAAACCUCUUUUGUCAGGGAGCAACGCCGGCUACGUGUAGCCGGACUGAGAGUACCUGAAGAAAAAGCAUCGGCUAACUCCGUGCCAGCAGCCGCGGUAAUACGGAGGAUGCGAGCGUUAUCCGGAUUUAUUGGGUUUAAAGGGUGCGUAGGCGGAAUGCCAAGUCAGGGGUAAAAUCGCGGGGCUCAACCUCGCUCCGCCGUUGAAACUGGCGUUCUUGAGUGGGCGAGAAGUGUGCGGAAUGCGUGGUGUAGCGGUGAAAUGCAUAGAUAUCACGCAGAACUCCGAUUGCGAAGGCAGCAUACCGGCGCCCAACUGACGCUGAAGCACGAAAGCGUGGGUAUCGAACAGGAUUAGAUACCCCUA
rnacentral:rRNA from 1 species